UGGUAAUAUUGGUGUUGGCGGAGAAAAUGGAAAAAUUUUUACAAGGCGGAAGCGAUAAAGGCAAAAGUGUAAAGAGCAAUUUGGAGGGGGGCGAAAACCCAGUGAAAAGAAUGGGUAAGUCGAAAGUGUGGAAUCACUUCAAAAGGUCUCAAGAUGGCAAGACAGCCACUUGCAUGCACUGCAAUAGAAUAUACAGAACGAGCGGAAACACGUCCAAUUUGUUUGACCACAUGAAACGGCUCCACCCGGGAAUUUCUAUGGAAGAGCAACAAAAGGGCGCGAAUACGAUUGUACCCUUUUUGUUUAACCAGUAUUAUCGUGUUUCGUCACGUAAAAAAAUUAUUGACAAUGCUUUGGCUGUUCUUGUGGCGGAAGAUAUGCAACCUUUUUCAAUAGUGGAGGAUUCCGGAUUUCGCGAGUUUGUUAGAGUUCUUGAUCCACGAUACACACUUCCUUCGCGAAAGACUCUACAACACGUAUACAUGAAGAAUAUAUAAGAAGACCUGAAAACAAAGCUUUUUACAAUAUUGGACCGCGUUAACAGUUGCGCAAUUACUGCAGACCUUUGGACUUCAAAAGCCAACCAGUCCUAUAUUACUGCCACUUGCCACUUCAUAACAAAAGAUUUCGUUUUGCGCUCAGUUGUAUUGGCAACAAAGCCGUUAUUGGAUGACUCCAAUCAUUCGGCUCUAAACAUUGCUUCUUCAAUGCGUGGCAUUUUUCACGAAUGGAAAAUUUUUGACAAAAUAGCAGCUAUUACAACUGACAACGCAAACUCUAUGAUCAAAGCUUGUGAGUAUUUACAAAAAAGGCAUCUACCCUGUGUUGCUCACACCAUAAACCUGGUUGUGCAAAGCUGUUUGGCGAUCGAUUGCUUACAAGAUAUUUUACUUAAAUGCAAGCGAACUGUCACUUACUUUAAAAGCAGCUCAAUUGCACUAAGUAAGUUUAAAGCAUCGCAAGAAACGGACGUUAAAUACAGCUUGAUACAAGAAGUGCCCACAAGGUGGAACAGUGCGUGUCACAUGAUAGAAAGAAUACUUCUUUCAAAUGAGGCCAUCACGAAGGUUCUUUUAAGUACGUCUAAAGCACCAACACCGUUCACUGCGGACGAAGUCGCAAUAAUGAAAGAUAUUAUCCUGUUACUAUCUCCAUUUGACAACGCUACAAAACAGGUAUCUUCCAGUACUUCAGUUACAGCAUCGCUGAUAGUGCCAAUUGUUUGUGGAUUAUUGCACACUUUAGACAGCUAAAAAUUGAAAUUAAAUUCAUUUGAAGGCAUUGAGGCUCAAAAUUUUUUGGUUGAGCAGGUAAAAAUACGACUUUUGUCGUAUUCGCACCUUUCCAAGAAUGUUAACACUACUUGAUCCAAGAUUUAAAAAGCAAGGGUUUCGUUCACCUUUUAACGCUGAUGACGGCCUUCAUGCCUUAGAAAACGAGUUAGCUGCCUUAAAGAAAGUUUUGCCAUUGGAUCCGCCAACACCAAUAGAAAAUGAAUCAGACUGCCAGCAGCCACUUUUUGAAUUUAUAACUCAAAGUAUUUCUACAAUGGGGAGGACAAACCGUGUUGAUGCCAUUGUCGAACUACAGCAGUACAUGCGAGCGGCACAUAAACCUUAGAAAACUGACCCAUUGGAGUUUUGGAAGUGCGCUUCAGAUGAUUCUCUUCUUAAAACUACAGCUGCACGCCUUUUUUGUGUUCAAGCAUCAUCGACUGAGUCUGAGAGGAUUUUUAGACAACGGGACAAAUUAUUUCUGCCAGGAGAGCAUCAUUGAAAGCCAAAAACGUGGAUAUAUUAUCCUUUCUCAAUAAAAUUAUGUGGAUCUCAAACUUUUCAAUAGAAAACUUAAAUGAAUAGCAUUGAACUAUUAACCUAUUCAUAAGAAACUUUUGUGAAAUAUUUCAGUUUUUCUUUUAGUAUAAGCGUGUAAAUAUGUGUUG